UUGGAGGGCAAGUCUGGUGCCAGCAGCCGCGGUAAUUCCAGCUCCAAUAGCGUAUAUUAAAGUUGCUGCAGUCAAAAAGCUCGUAGUUGAAUUUCGGGACCAUCAUGUCGGUCGUGCCUCGGUACGUACUGGCAUCGUCGGUUUCUCCCUUCUGACGAACCAUGAUGUCAUUUAUUUGGUGUUGUGGGGAAUCAGGACUGUUACUUUGAAAAAAUUAGAGUGUUUAAAGCAGGCUCACGCUUGAAUACAUUAGCAUGGAAUAAUGAAAUAGGACGUUUGAUUCUAUUUUGUUGGUUUCUAGGAUCGACGUAAUGAUUAAUAGGGAUAGUUGGGGGCAUUAGUAUUCAAUUGUCAGAGGUGAAAUUCUUGGAUUUAUUGAAGACUAACUACUGCGAAAGCAUUUGCCAAGGAUGUUUUCAUUAAUCAAGAACGAAAGUUAGGGGAUCGAAGACGAUCAGAUACCGUCGUAGUCUUAACCAUAAACUAUGCCGACUAGGGAUCGGAUGAUGUUAAUUUUUUAAUGACUCAUUCGGCGCCUUACGGGAAAC
rnacentral:rRNA from 1 species